UACGUAGGUGGCGAGCGUUGUCCGGAAUUACUGGGUGUAAAGCGCGUGUAGGCGGGAGGCCAAGUCUGUGGUGAAGUCGCCUGGCUUAACUGGGCGGGGUCCAUGGAAACUGGUCACCUGGAGGUCGGUAGAGGCAAGUGGAAUUCCCGGUGUAGUGGUGAAAUGCGUAGAGAUCGGGAGGAACACCAGUGGCGAAGGCGGCUUGCUGGGCCGGACCUGACGCUGAGACGCGAAGGCGUGGGGAGCGAACGGG
rnacentral:rRNA from 1 species